GCCUCCGUGGCGCAAUCGGCUAGCGCGUUCGGCUGUUAACCGAAAGGUUGGUGGUUCGAACCCACCUGGGGGCG
rnacentral:tRNA from 1 species